rnacentral:misc_RNA from 1 species
GUGGUGACUCCUCGAGGUCACGGUCGACUAGGGGUUCAGGUGGUGGGGAUACCUCCUCUAUGUUGUUCCAGGGCUCUACAGCGUCAAGGCAGUGGCUAGAGCAGCUCCUUGGUUGCAUGGAGGAGCAGGGGCGCGAAGUGGCAAGCCAUAGUGCACCUGGGCAAGAGCGCGAGGUGGCAGGCCAUAGUGCACCUGGGCAAGAGCGCGAGGUGGCAUGCCACAAUGCACUUGAGCCGGAGCGUGAGGCGAUAGGCUCAAGUGGACCUAUGCUAGAGCAGGACCACAAUGCAUUUGAGCAAGCGAGCGAGGCGGCAGACCACAAUGCACCUAGUCAGGAGGACGAGCUGGCACGCCAAGGUUCACCAAUGCGUGAUGAUGAUGACUAUGGGGAGGACUACGAUGGAGAGGCCGAUGGAGAGGCCGAUGACGAGGUUGUUACAACGACACAGGCAAC